AUGGUGAUGGCGGCGGAGGGGCGGCGGGGGGACGCGGAGGCGGAGCUGAACCUGCCGCCGGGGUUCCGGUUCCACCCGACGGACGAGGAGCUGGUGGCGGACUACCUCUGCGCGCGCGCGGCCGGGCGCGCGCCGCCGGUGCCCAUCAUCGCCGAGCUCGACCUCUACCGGUUCGACCCGUGGGAGCUCCCGGAGCGGGCGCUCUUCGGGGCGCGGGAGUGGUACUUCUUCACGCCGCGGGACCGCAAGUACCCCAACGGCUCCCGCCCCAGCCGGGCCGCCGGGGGCGGCUACUGGAAGGCCACCGGCGCCGACAGGCCCGUGGCGCGCGCGGGCAGGACCCUCGGGAUCAAGAAGGCGCUCGUCUUCUACCACGGCAGGCCGGCGGCGGGGGUCAAGACGGACUGGAUCAUGCACGAGUACCGCCUCGCCGGCGCCGCCGCCAAGAGGGACGGCGCCUCGCUCAGGCUCGACGACUGGGUGCUCUGCCGCCUCUACAACAAGAAGAACCAGUGGGAGAAGAUGCAGCGGCAGCGGCAGGAGGAGGAGGAGGCGGCGGCCAAGGCUGCGGCGUCACAGUCGACCUCGUGGGGUGAGACGCGGACGCCGGAGUCCGAUGUCGACAACGGUCCGUUCCCGGAGCUGGACUCGCUGCCGGAGUUCCAGGGAAUGGGGACGACAAACGCGGCGAUACUGCCAAAGGAGGAGGUGCGGGAGCUGGGCAACGACGACUGGCUCAUGGGGAUCAGCCUCGACGAUCUUCAGGGCCCCGGCUCCCUGAUGCUGCCCUGGGACGACUCCUACGCCGCCUCGUUCCUGUCGCCGGUGGCCGUGAUGAAGAUGGAGCAGGACGUCAGCCCAUUCUUCUUCUGA
rnacentral:rRNA from 1 species